rnacentral:ncRNA from 2 species
AAAGAUCUUCAGGGAUAGGUGUGAUUCCUUACCGGCGGUAAAGCCCGCGAGCUGCACAGCAGCAGAUCCGGUGUAAUUCCGGGGCCGACGGUCAUAGUCCGGAUGAAAGAAGGUAUAU